CCUACGGGUGGCUGCAGUGAGGAAUAUUGGUCAAUGGGCGCGAGCCUGAACCAGCAAAGUAGCGUGAAGGAUGAAUGCCCUACGGGUUGUAAACUUCUUUUAUAAAGGAAUAAAGUGAGGCACGUGUGCCUUUUUGUAUGUCCUUUAUGAAUAAGGAUCGGCUAACUCCGUGCGAGCAGCCGCGGUAAUACGGAGGAUCCGAGCGUUAUCCGGAUUUAUUGGGUUUAAGGGGAGCGGAGAUGGGGUGUUAAGGCAGUUGUGAAAGUUUGUGGCUCAACCGUAAAAUUGCAAUUGAUACUGGCAGUCUUGAGUACAGUUGAGGUAGGCGGAAUUCGUGGUGUAGCGGUGAAAUGCUUAGAUAUCAGGAAGAACUCCGAUUGCGAAGGCAGCUUACUAAGCCGCCACUGACAUUGAUGCUCGAAAGUGUGGGUAUCAAACAGGAUUAGAUACCCGUGUAGUC
rnacentral:rRNA from 1 species